rnacentral:misc_RNA from 1 species
AAAAAAAGAUAAUAAUGUUUAUAGGCUCUUAUUUUUAUUUUAAUGUCUAUUGCUCUUAUCUUUUUAUGAGUUUCAUGUUUGAUUUUUGUGGUUAAGGGUUGUGAAUUUAGGAUUAUAUAUUUAGAGUUUCAAUUGGUCUUAGUGUGAUAAAAAUUACACACAGAGGAAAAAAAAAGGGUGAAGGGCAAUUCUUUUUAUUUAU